rnacentral:piRNA from 1 species
UACCCAAAUCAGGACCGGAGGGCAC